rnacentral:rRNA from 1 species
AGCGUGCGCAGGCGGUUAUGUAAGACAGAUGUGAAAUACCCCGGGCCUCAACCUGGGAACUGCAUUUGUGACUGCAUGGCUAGAGUACGGUAGAGGGGGAUGGAAUUCCGCGUGUAGCAGUGAAAUGCGUAGAUAUGCGGAGGAACACCGAUGGCGAAGGCAAUCCCCUGGACCUGUACUGACGCUCAUGCACGAAAGCGUGGGGAGCAAACAGGAUUAGAUACCCUAGU